rnacentral:tRNA from 1 species
GGAAGGGUCGCAUAGUGGUCUAGUGCCCCGCUCUCGAAAAGCGGUAUCGGGGAAACCUGAUCGUGGGUUCAAAUCCCACCCCUUCCG